rnacentral:tRNA from 1 species
GCGGAGGUAGCUCAGUCGGUAGAGCAACGGGUUGUGGCCCCGUUGGUCGGGGGUUCGAAUCCCCUCCUUCGCC